rnacentral:rRNA from 1 species
AGUCUAACAUGUGCGCGAGUCAUGGGGUCCAUACGAAACCCAAAGGCGCAAUGAAAGUGAAGGUCUCCUCCGGAGUACCCAGGCAGGAUCCCGGGGUUCGCUCCGGGCGCACUGCCGGCCCGUCUCAGCGGCAUCGUCCGCGAGGCGGAGCAAGAGCGCACACGUUGGGACCCGAAAGAUGGUGAACUAUGUCUGAGUAGGGCGAAGUCAGAGGAAACUCUGAUGGAGGCCCGCAGCGAUUCUGACGUGCAAAUCGAUCGUCAAACUUGGAUAUAGGGGCGAAAGACUAAUCGAACCAUCUAGUAGCUGGUUCCCUC